rnacentral:rRNA from 1 species
GAUGAACGCUGGCGGCAUGCCUAACACAUGCAAGUCGAUCGGUAAGGCUCUUCGGAGUACACGAGAGGCGGACGGCUGAGUAACGCGUAGGAACACACCCUGCAGUGAGGGAUAAGACACCGAAAGGUGUUCUAAUACCGCAUACGGUCUUCGGAUUAAAGCAUUUAUGCGCUGAAGGAGUGGCCUGCGUCAUAUUAGAUAGUUGGUGAGGUAAUGGCUCACCAAGUCGAUGAUGUGUAGCUGGUCUGAGAGGAUGAUCAGCCAGACUGGAACUGAGACACGGUCCAGACUCCUACGGGAGGCAGCAGUGAGGAAUAUUGCACAAUGAGCGAAAGCUUGAUGGAGCAAUGCCGCGUGCAGGAUGAAGGCCCUCGGGUUGUAAACUGCUUUUAUAAGAGAAGAUUAUGACGGUAACUUAUGAAUAAGGGACGGCUAACUACGUG